GUUUUACAGAAGUCCCUGGGACAACGGCCAUACCUGGUACAUAAGUUCAAGUGAGAAUAUCCAGGGAGAAUGUAUAAGACAAGAAGUUUCUCACAGCAGAAAACAUGCCACUUGCACCCCGUUCCAGCACCCUGGAGAAACGAGAAGUCACAGGUCAAGACAGAAGAGAAUUAACAAAGAGGCAGAAAGCAAUGGAAUAUUCUUUAGAGUUUCUUUCACCGUGCAUUCCUUGCAGAAAGUGGAAAAGUUUUCCAAGUUAAGAAGAGGAGAAAAGAGACCACAGAUUCAAAGAUAUGUUUGAUAGACAGUUCCAGAUCCUGCCAGCACAGCGGCCCUCAUCAUUCCUGAUAAAAUGUUCGCCCAUCCUUUUAUUUUCUCAGACGCCAACAGCGGCUCAAGCCCCCCCAGCAUUGCAUGAAGUUUGCUGUGGAAAUGCUGAGCUCUCCACAGAGACCCGGGGCCCAGAAACAUAAUUAAAGGCCUUUAUCAA